rnacentral:tRNA from 1 species
UCCCUGGUGGUCCAGUGGUUAAGAUUCUGCACUUCCAAUGCAGGGGGCAGAGGUUCAACCCCUGAUUGGGGAA